GCCGCCUUCGGCCGGCAGGGUCGCAGCUGUGAGUUUGGCCUUGGAAAGGAGGAAUGAAAUGAGAGGUGGGGAAAUCUGUUGGAGCGAGAGGACAUGCAGGAUAGACGUUAGGAAGGACAGGAGGAGAUCGCGGGUGACCAAGGGCACAUUGAAAGGCCCACGCAAGCCUGGUGGCCGAGUGACAACAGUACUUUGGGGGAGCCUCGCAGAGGAAUCUCUGCACCCGACGUGGGGCUCAAACUCAUGACCCCGAGAUCAAGGGCUGGAGGUUCUUCCGACCCAGCCGGCCAGUAGCCUCAGAGAGACAGAGCGUGAGCAGGGGAGGGGCAGAGAGAGAGGGAGACACAGAAUC